AGGGUUACUCUUGUCAGGGUUCAGUUUACAUGGACGUGGUGUCCCAAGGUGUUCUGGAGCAGUGAAUACAUGUCAAUCAGUGCUUCUAAGGAAAGCAUUGAUUGGAAUAGACUCAGGUCUAUAGGCUGUGAUGUCCAAGAUGCUUCAUUCUAUGUGUGGUGAAGGACUUCCCUAAAUCCACUGGGUGGUGAUGGAGAGAUGAUAUAAGGAGAGGUUAAUUGUGAAGAUGGAAGAAGAGGAACGGGAAUAGCAGGAGAGCCCCAGGACACAGACACCAUAGUGGGAGAACCACAAGGCGGAGCCUCUGCAACACUUGAUUUCACACUCUAGUGAAGAGAAGCAAGUACUUCAAUCUGCUUCAUUGCCCCAUCUUGCCAGAGCAUUAAAUGCUUCACAGAAUGAAAACAGAAAAACCACAAAUUGGCAUUUUUAGAAACCACUGAAGUGAACUUUGCCUCCCGUAGAGAUGUGGAGAGAACUGGGAAGGAUUCACUGAUUAAACGGACCUGUAGUCAGAUGUUUGAAGCCGCUUCUACUCUCAGCUUGCCUGGGAAGAUGAAGAAAGCAAGAAACAGCUACCUAGUACUCAACUCCCACGGAGAACACACAAAGGAAAAGCUUGUCAUGUGGAUUUCUCCUCCAUCAAAAGAAACGUUUUCUGUCAUCCAAGGAGUAAAACUGAACCUUGUCUUUUUUCCCUUUGCAAAAUAAACUGACUUGUUAGUCUGCAACCAUGCAAUU